rnacentral:rRNA from 1 species
UACGAAGGGGGCUAGCGUUGCUCGGAAUCACUGGGCGUAAAGCGCACGUAGGCGGAUCUUUAAGUCGGUGUGAAAUCCUGGAGCUCAACUCCAGAACUGCCUCCGAUACUGAGGGUCUUCGAGUCCGGGAGAGGUGAGUGGAACUGCGAGUGUAGAGGUGAAAUUCGUAGAUAUUCGCAAGAACACCAGUGGCGAAGGCGGCUCACUGGCCCGGUACUGACGCUGAGGUGCGAAAGCGUGGGGAGCAAACAGG